AUCACUCUUAAAUAUUCUACUCUCUAUCGGUAGUUCGCGCUAAAUCUCGUUUCUGUAUCUCACCUAUCAGGGCCUGCCAUUCGGGUCGAGGAUCAUCCCUCCCUCAGGAGUCCAACGUUCUUCCUCCACUUUAAACUAAAAUCAAAAUUUCUAAAACCGCUCUUGGGAUACUGCGCAGGAUUUUAACAAUUAAUUUAGAGAAAUGGAACUCUGAUCGAGAGUGAUUAAAGCAAAGGCGACCUGGGAUCACGCAAAUGGAUACAGUUGAAGAUUUGAGAUAUUGAUACGAACCGCAUUUCCAUUAUGCGAAAUCACAACUGAGACGUGCGUGGCGUGGUUCGAGCAGAUUUUUGACAUCAAGUACAAUUCAUUCGAAAUUCGAAAAAUACACCAAAGCAAUGGACGUGAUUCGAAAUUCAAAUUACCGCACCACAGUUCUGUUCAUAUUUCGAAAUUCAAAGAAAAUUGAGUAUUUGUUUACUGGGAGAAAAUAAAUAAAAAUUAUUUUGUA